GAAACCUCCCCGGGUCCAGGAACAGAGUGGUUCCGAUGUGGAAACCAGACCCAGUUGGGGCUGAAAUGUGCCCGGGUCGGAGUGGUUCCUCCUUAGAAACCAGACCGAAUCCGACCUAAGCUGGGCUGGGUCCAGUGUGAGGCCCAGGUCAAUAACAUUUUGCUUUAAGGCUGAACAGGGUUAACUUUACCAAAGAUAAUCUUGAAUUAUGGAGACCACUACGGAGAACUUUUAACCAUUUUAGAUAAGCUUAUCCAUUUAGGAGGUGCCCUGGAGAUAAAGGUGUCUUGGCCAGGCACUCUCCGUAAAGGGUAGAGGGAAAACUACUUUUCUUCUUCCAGAGUGUCUGGUGCCCCAGAGCAGAUCUCCUGGGACAUCAACUGGCUCUGGAGCCUGCACGUGGGAUCCUUGGAGAACUGGCAGAAGCCAGCAAAGGCGUUUCUGGAACUUACCAGAUGAGUAAGGAAAGUCACUUCCUGGAAGGCACGGGAACCUCAGGAUAUUUGGGGACUUCGAGAAGAGAGGAAUUCACCCAAAUCUGUCUUAAAUUCAUGGUCACAGCCAUAAGAUGGUCUCACUGCACUUGGAGAAACAGAAACAAGAUGAACAAUGAGGUGAACAGCAAAGACAAUUCUUCUAGGGAUCUAACAUUAUAACCUGUGAGGAGCACAAUGAGACAAGAGCAGCUGAACUUUGAUGGUAGCUGAGAGUGAUGCUAACAGUAAGUUUUUGGUUAAUCUCUCACAUAGGAGAGGAUGACCAGAAGGAGGAA